UACGAAGGGGGCGAGCGUUAUUCGGAAUCACUGGGCGUAAAGCGUGCGUAGGCUGUUCUGCAAGUCAGGAGUGAAAGCCCAAGGCUCAACCUUGGAAGCGCUCUUGAAACUGCGGGACUAGAAUUUGGGAGAGGAUAGCGGAAUUGUCAGUGUAGCAGUGAAAUGCGUAGAUAUUGACAGGAACACCAGUGGCGCAAGCGGCUAUCUGGACCAACAUUGACGCUGAGGCACGAAAGCGUGGGGAUCAAACAGG
rnacentral:rRNA from 1 species